GAGGAAAAUCCGUCGACUUUAAAAUCGUGAGGGUUCAAGUCCCUCUAUC
rnacentral:tRNA from 28 species